rnacentral:rRNA from 1 species
UACGUAGGGUGCAAGCGUUGUCCGGAAUUAUUGGGCGUAAAGAGCUCGUAGGCGGUCUGUCGCGUCGGCUGUGAAAACUCGGGGCUCAACCCCGAGCCUGCAGUCGAUACGGGCAGACUAGAGUCCGGCAGGGGAGACUGGAAUUCCUGGUGUAGCGGUGAAAUGCGCAGAUAUCAGGAGGAACACCGGUGGCGAAGGCGGGUCUCUGGGCCGAUACUGACGCUGAGGCGCGAAAGCUAGGGGAGCAAACGGG